rnacentral:tRNA from 1 species
CCCGUUCCCGGCAACAACGGGAAAGCCUGGAAAGUGUGUAUACGGCAACGUAUCGGGGGUUCGAAUCCCCCCCUCACCGCCA